rnacentral:rRNA from 1 species
CCUACGGGUGGCAGCAGUGGGGAAUAUUGCACAAUGGGGGGAACCCUGAUGCAGCGACGCCGCGUGGGUGAAGGAGUAUUUCGGUAUGUAAAGCCCUAUCGGCAGGGAAGAAAUUGGACGGUACCUGACUAAGAAGCCCCGGCUAACUACGUGCCAGCAGCCGCGGUAAUACGUAGGGGGCAAGCGUUAUCCGGAUUCACUGGGUGUAAAGGGAGCGUAGACGGCCAUGCAAGCCAGGGGUGAAAGCCCGGGGCCCAACCCCGGGACUGCCCUUGGAACUGCAUGGCUGGAGUGCGGGAGGGGCAGGCGGAAUUCCUGGUGUAGCGGUGAAAUGCGUAGAUAUCAGGAGGAACACCGGCGGCGAAGGCGGCCUGCUGGACCGCGACUGACGUUGAGGCUCGAAAGCGUGGGGAGCGAACAGGAUUAGAUACCCUAGUAGUC